GGGGGCGAAAUGGCUUCGACGGAGAUUUUGAGGCCCAUGGUAGCAUACCGAGUUUUUUGUCAGCUCGUAAAAUUGGCAAAGCAUUAAACAUAAUCGCAGAUGAUUAUAAUUACGCUGUAGCUGCUUAAGGCAGCUUCCGUCCUCCUGAAAUCCUUCUUGCAGAUCUCAGGUCAGGGCGUCGACUUUGCAAGACCGCUUUUUAAGGGCGUCUGAACCUUAAAAGUUAAACUUUUCAGACUAUAUUGUUUUGUAUCCAUCUCAAAGGAGACAUUACAACAAAUAUAAAUUUUGAGAUAAGUAUGUAGAAGCCUAGGUUGAUUGUUUUCGGACGCGGGUUCAACUCCCGCCGCCUCCACCA
rnacentral:tmRNA from 2 species